rnacentral:rRNA from 1 species
ACUCAAGAACGAACGCUGGCGGCAUGCCUAACACAUGCAAGUCGAACGAGACCUUCGGGUCUAGUGGCGCACGGGUGCGUAACGCGUGGGAAUCUGCCCUUAGGUUCGGAAUAACUUCGGGAAACUGAAGCUAAUACCGGAUGAUGACGUAAGUCCAAAGAUUUAUCGCCUAAGGAUGAGCCCGCGUUGGAUUAGCUAGUUGGUGAGGUAAAGACUCACCAAGGCGACGAUCCUUAGCUGGUCUGAGAGGAUGAUCAGCCACACUGGGACUGAGACACGGCCCAGACUCCUACGGGAGGCAGCAGUGGGGAAUAUUGGACAAUGGGCGAAAGCCUGAUCCAGCAAUGCCGCGUGAGUGAUGAAGGCCUUCGGGUUGUAAAGCUCUUUUACUCGGGACGAUAAUGACGGUACCGAGAGAAUAAGCCCCGGCUAACUCCGUG